rnacentral:rRNA from 1 species
GUAUGGGAUGAGCUUGCGUCCGAUUAGCUAGUUGGCGGGGCAACGGCCCACCAAGGCGACGAUCGGUAGCCGGCCUGAGAGGGUGAUCGGCACAUUGGGACUGAGAUACGGCCAGACUCCUACGGGAGGCAGCAGUAGGGAAUAUUGCACAAUGGGGGAAACCCUGAUGCAGCAACGCCACGUGUGGGAAGAAGCAUUUCGGUGUGUAAACCACUGUCAUGAGGGAAUAAGGCCCGCCUUCGGACGGGAUUGAAUGUACCUUGAGAGGAAGCACCGGCAAACUUCGUGCCAGCAGCCGCGGUAAUACGAGGGGUGCAAGCGUUGUUCGGAAUUACUGGGCGUAAAGGGAGCGUAGGCGGAGAUUCAAGCGGAUUGUACAAUCCCGGGGCCCAACCCCGGCUCUGCAGUCCGAACUGGAUUUCUUGGAUAGUUCAGGGGCAGGCAC